GUCCAUUACUCACAAUGGUCAUGUAAAGGUAGACACUGAACGGCAACUGUGAUCAAACAUGCCACGUUCAAGGACACAUUGAGGAACAUUCCUGCUGUAUGAUGCCGGUCUGGACCAGAAAAUACGUGACUGAUAUCAUGAGCAUCGAUCUUCUCAGUUGAGCUCUGAUGACAUGCAAUCAACCAAAUCAGUAAACAUGAUGAUCCAACACAUUUAGUUAUCUCUUACAAUGGCAGGAUAUGGAGGACCUUGAAGCUUUGUCUACCUAGAGUACUUACAGCUCAUUGGCAUGGUUGACCCAAACGUCUGCUGCAAUUCACUGUGCAAAAUUGUGUGGCUUACAUGGCCCAGGAUCU